UUUGCAUGGCGGCGUGCUAUACAUGCAGUCGAGCGGAUCUUUAGAGAAGCUUUGCUUCUCUCAAAGAUUAGCGGCGGACGGGUGAGUAACACGUGGGCAACCUGCCUGUAAGACUGGGAUAACUCCGGGAAACCGGGGCUAAUACCGGAUAAUUCAUUUCCUCUCAUGAGGGAAUGCUGAAAGACGGUUUCGGCUGUCACUUACAGAUGGGCCCGCGGCGCAUUAGCUAGUUGGUGAGGUAACGGCUCACCAAGGCAACGAUGCGUAGCCGACCUGAGAGGGUGAUCGGCCACACUGGGACUGAGACACGGCCCAGACUCCUACGGGAGGCAGCAGUAGGGAAUCUUCCGCAAUGGACGAAAGUCUGACGGAGCAACGCCGCGUGAGCGAUGAAGGCCUUCGGGUCGUAAAGCUCUGUUGUUAGGGAAGAACAAGUACCGGAGUAACUGCCGGUACCUUGACGGUACCUAACCAGAAAGCCACGGCUAACUACGUGCCAGCAGCCGCGGUAAUACGUAGGUGGCAAGCGUUGUCCGGAAUUAUUGGGCGUAAAGCGCGCGCAGGUGGUUCCUUAAGUCUGAUGUGAAAGCCCACGGCUCAACCGUGGAGGGUCAUUGGAAACUGGGGAACUUGAGUGCAGAAGAGGAAAGUGGAAUUCCACGUGUAGCGGUGAAAUGCGUAGAGAUGUGGAGGAACACCAGUGGCGAAGGCGACUUUCUGGUCUGUAACUGACACUGAGGCGCGAAAGCGUGGGGAGCGAACAGGAUUAGAUACCCUGGUAGUCCACGCCGUAAACGAUGAGUGCUAAGUGUUAGAGGGUUUCCGCCCUUUAGUGCUGCAGCAAACGCAUUAAGCACUCCGCCUGGGGAGUACGGCCGCAAGGCUGAAACUCAAAGGAAUUGACGGGGGCCCGCACAAGCGGUGGAGCAUGUGGUUAAUUCGAAGCAACGCGAAGAACCUU
rnacentral:rRNA from 2 species